AGUGAACGCUGGCGGUAGGCCUAACACAUGCAAGUCGAACGGCAGCACAGUAAGAGCUUGCUCUUACGGGUGGCGAGUGGCGGACGGGUGAGGAAUACAUCGGAAUCUACUUUUUCGUGGGGGAUAACGUAGGGAAACUUACGCUAAUACCGCAUACGACCUACGGGUGAAAGCAGGGGAUCUACGGACCUUGCGCGAUUGAAUGAGCCGAUGUCGGAUUAGCUAGUUGGCGGGGUAAAGGCCCACCAAGGCGACGAUCCGUAGCUGGUCUGAGAGGAUGAUCAGCAACACUGGAACUGAGACACGGUCCAGACUCCUACGGGAGGCAGCAGUGGGGAAUAUUGGACAAUGGGCGCAAGCUUGAUCCAGCCAUACCGCGUGGGUGAAGAAGGCCUUCGGGUUGUAAAGCCCUUUUGUUGGGAAAGAAAAGCAGCAGGUUAAUACCCCGCUGUUCUGACGGUACCCAAAGAAUAAGCACCGGCUAACUUCGUG
rnacentral:rRNA from 1 species